rnacentral:rRNA from 1 species
GCUAAGACUGGAUAGGAAGAAAUAAGGCAUCUUUUUUCUUUUAAAAGACCUAGUGAUAGGUAUACUUUAGGAGGGGCUUGCGCCAUAUUAGUUAGUUGGUAGGGUAAUGGCCUACCAAGACGAUGAUGUGUAGCUGGACUGAGAGGUUGAACAGCCACAUUGGGACUGAGACACGGCCCAAACUCCUACGGGAGGCAGCAGUAGGGAAUUUUCGGCAAUGGAGGAAACUCUGACCGAGCAACGCCGCGUGAACGACGAAGUACUUUGGUAUGUAAAGUUCUUUUAUCAAGGAAGAAAAGCAAGUGGUGAACCAUUUGUUUGCCGGUACUUGAUGAAUAAGCCCCGGCUAAUUAUGUGCCAGCAGCCGCGGUAAGACAUAAGGGGCAAGUGUUAUCCGGAAUUAUUGGGCGUAAAGGGUGCGUAGGCGGUCUAGUAAGUCAGUGGUGUAAUGGCAACGCUCAACGUUGUCCGGCUAUUGAAACUGCUAAACUUGAGUUAGAUAGAGGCGAGUGGAAUUCCAUGUGUAGCGGUAAAAUGCGUAAAUAUAUGGAGGAACACCAGAGGCGUAGGCGGCUCGCUGGGUCUUAACUGACGCUGAGGCACGAAAGCGUGGGGAGCAAACAAGGAUUAGAUACCCUGGUAGUCCACGCCGUAAACGAUGAGUACUAAGUGUCGGGUUAAACCGGUACUGAAGUUAACACAUUAAGUACUCCGCCUGAGUAGUACGUACGCAAGUAUGAAACUUAAAGGAAUUGACGGGACUCCGCACAAGCGGUGGAUCAUGUUGUUUAAUUCGAAGAUACCCGAAAAACCUUACCAGGUCUUGACAUGUUUUUGCGAAACGGUAGUAAUAUCGUGGAGGUUAUCAGAAACACAGGUGGUGCAUGGUUGUCGUCAGCUCGUGUCGUGAGAUGUUAGGUUAAGUCCUAAAACGAGCGAAACCCUUAUCGUUAGUUGCCAGCACGUUAUGGUGGGGACUUUAACGAGACUGCCAGUGAUAAAUUGGAGGAAGGUGAGGAUCACGUCAAAUCAGCAUGCCCCUUAUGACCUGGGCUACAAACGUGAUACAAUGGCUGUUACAAAGGGUAGCUGAAACGCAAGUUCUUGGCCAAUCCCCAAAAACAGUCUCAGUCCGGAUUGAAGUCUGCAACUCGACUUCAUGAAGUUGGAAUCGCUAGUAAUCGCGAAUCAGCAUGUCGCGGUGAAUACGUUCUCGGGGUUUGUACACACCGCCCGUCA